rnacentral:tRNA from 1 species
GGUUGUGGUUAAGUGGCAGAGCGCUUGCCUAGCAUGCAGGAGGCACUGAGUUGGAUCCCCGGCACAUUA